rnacentral:rRNA from 1 species
UACGAAGGGGGCUAGCGUUGCUCGGAAUUACUGGGCGUAAAGCGCACGUCGGCGGGUUGUUAAGUCGGGGGUGAACUCCUGGAGCUCACCUCCAGAACUGCCUUCGAAACUGGCGAUCUUGAGUCCGGGAGAGGUGAGUGGAACUGCGAGUGUAGAGGUGAAAGUCGUAGAUAGGCGCAAGAACACCAGUGGCGAAGGCGGCUCACUGGCCCGGUACUGACGCUGAGGUGCGAAAGCGUGGGGAGCAAACAGG